GCUGGGCGUGGUGGCUCACGCCUGUAAUCCCAGAACUUUGGGAGGCCGAGGUGGGUGGAUCGCCUGAGGUCAGGAGUUCAAGACCAGCCUGGCCAACAUGGUGAAACCCCGUCUCUA
ensembl:misc_RNA Metazoa_SRP Metazoan signal recognition particle RNA